rnacentral:lncRNA from 1 species
CUUAAUAAAAUGCAGUUCCAUCCCUCAUUCCUUCUAUAUUGAAAGCACACACAUUCUACUUUUCUAAAGCAAACAUGGACUGUCCUUUAUAAUUUCUAAAAACACAUGUUUUUCUUAUGGAGACCAUUCAGGGUGGCACCGAUCAUAUUGAUUAAUUACUCUAAAUACCUUUAGUUUCUGUUUAGUAACUGAUGUCUCAGUGUCUCAUUUGACUUCUAUUAAACCUAGGUACAAUAAGAUAUUAUACCUAAUGUUGUUAGCUGUAACGACAUGUGUGUAUUAGAUCAGCAAACUUCAAUUCUAAUUUAAGAUAUUAAUUUAAUACUGAAUAUUUCCCAGUUUACUGGAACGUAAAAUUAAUUCUGAUAAGUUAGUUACCUUCCAUAUUUUGAGAAUUUAUAUAUGCAAAGCCUUAGUCAAGGAAAUGCAGAAUAAAGGCAUCUUUUAAAUCUGAUACAGUAACCCAUGCUGCUGUUUCUGGAAUUUGUGAAAGAAGAGUGUAGAGAUUGGGCACCACUGGAUGUAAUGAGACCAGUGUCUCAUUUAUUAGAUGAAGGUCUUGUACUAGGAACCAAUCCCUGUUAAGUUUUUGCACUCCCAAUAUAGGAGUGUUACAAGGGCUGAUACAUUCAAUUAAUAAUCUGUUCUCUUAUGCUUCCUAUAAUUGAGAUAAGUCCCUGUCAUGCCUUGGGUCUCAGAGGAUACUGCUUUUGGCAAAGAAAUAAAUUCCGGUCUUUAAGACUUAUUUCCACCAGUUGAGUAUUCUUUGCUCUUCCUAUGUUUCCUCCUAUGGCCCAGACUUCUGGGUCAAUAUAUACUUCCAUCCAAGGCAGGCAUAAACCUUGAUUAGGCUCCAUUGCCAUGUGAAUUGAGGCUUUAACCUCUUACAAAAUAUCUCUUUCUAAAAGAGGAGUUGGACUCUCUGGAACAAUCAGAAAGGCAUGAGAGAAGAAAAUGGAUUCCCAGUCACAACUCAAAGGUUGUGUAAGAAAUUUUGUAACCGGCUUGCCAGAAAUAUAAAUGUGGCAGAUUCAUGAGGGAGGGGCCCAGGAUUGGAGAGGAGGACUGAAAAGUGGCUCCCGUAUUCAGGAGGAAGUCAAUAGGCUGUCUUCCUACAUUUAGAGUCACCCAGGGCUCCUGAGUGGUGAUAAGGACAGGAGCCAUUAUGGAAAUGUCCUGUCAGCCUUGAUCCUGGGCCUGAGGGGUCAACCCCAGAGACCUUCAUCUUCAGGGGCAGUCCCUCUUCCAGUGAUCUCCCCAACAUAUGGGGCAUGGCCUAGGUGCUGUGGUCUGAGUCUUGGGGCAUUCCCAUUUAAAGGGUCCCUCUUUUCCACAGAGGAAACAGGCUCCGGGCAUAGGUCUCUGCCCUAGUCCUCUCACCUUGGAAACUCCCAGGUUGACUCCCUGUAGUGCCAUAACUAGAGCCUCAGCCUUUUCUCUGUCUCUCCUCUCAUUCUCCUUUUAUUCUUCCUGGCCCGGAUUAUAACAUACUUGAGUUGCUACUCUGAGGAGGUGCUCCAGGUUCUGAUCAGGGCCAAAAGCCAAUUUUUGGAGCUUUCUCCAUAUAUCUGGCACCGAUUGAGCUAUGAAUUUAUCCUUAAGAAUUAUUUGGCCCUCCAUUGUUUCUGGGUUCCCUGUUUUAUGUUUUCUCAAUGCCUUUCUGAGUCUUUUUAAGAAAGCUGAUGGACUCUUGUUCCCCUAGUAAACCUCCGAUAGUUUUUAACAGGCUUUACUCAUGAGGCUUUUAAUCCCUCAACUAUACAAGUAAUAAAAUGAUUUCUAUGCCAAUUGUUGUUAUCUCCCUCAUCAGCAGACCAAUUGGGAUUGCUCAUAGGAACUGCCUGACACCCUGUGGGGAAUCUUGAUCAUUCCUCUUCUAAUCUGCCUCUGGCAUUUAUAGCAUCAUUCCAUUCAUCUUCCCCAGCUUUGAGCAGUUUUGGAGACUUUAUGUAAUUUUCCACUUAUAGUCAAUGUCUGUUUCCGUAAUAACAUGACAUCCUUGAAGGCUAACUCAAAGGACUGCAUGAGACCCUGAAAGACCUCAAUAUAUCUGGGUCAUCAGCAAAUUUUCCCAAAUCUGUUUUUAUUUGCCUUAAGUCCUGAAGUGAAAUAGGUGUAUGGACCUGUAUUUGGCCCCCAUUCUCUGUUUGCUACUUCUUGUAAAGGGAGUAGAGAGAGAUAUAACUUUGGCACUGGCUUGGGGGGAGGAGGAGCCUUGAGCAGUAUUGGAGAAGGCUGACUAACUUCUGGCUAAUUGGAGAAUGGUAUUAUAAGCUAGUGAGCCUUCAGAUGGCUGUCACUCUCCAUCUGACAGAUUAUAUAAUGGCCAGGCUUUUGUUCAAAAGAAAAUUAAAUGUUUCUUUUUAAGAAUCUCAGGGUCAAACUUUUUCCAGUUCUUCAAGGCACAUGUCAGAGCGGUUGCUAUUGAGUCAUGCUCCAGGCUUGAGGGUGUGGCUCGCAUUCAAAAAAGACAAAAAAAAGCAUCCAGCGCCUAUUGUCCUUUCUUGGCUAUGUGAGGGUGUCCCCUCUCUUAUAUGGAGCAGCUAGACACUAGUGGUCAAAUGCCCCAUCCGACCUCAGGCUGACUGGAAUUAACCACUCUUUACCAGCGUACCCCUCUCUUCCCGUCAUCCCUGCCCAUUGCCUGUCUCUGGACAGAGGUGAAGAAAACCCAGGCAUACAGGCCCUGCCCUGAGUUUUCGAAUCCUAAGAUUCUCACUCUGACAUGCCCUGUAUUAACAUUAGGAAAGUUUCUAAACCACAGUUAAUGGGUAAAUUGGAUGAACCAGCCAUCAAUUACUCUGACCAGGGUGAAAGUAAACAGCAAAAAGCAAAACUGAUUAUGCCGAGGCUCUGCAGCUAAACACUUGGCCUAAGUUGGAUGAAUGCUAGCUAUGAACUCCUUUUCCCCCACAGGCCUGGUAACAACUCAGGAUGGUCUUAACAUCUAGAGACCUGUUUCCUUUGCCCCCACAGCUCUAUCUGAGGUAAUGGCAAAGGAAAUGAUGAAAGAUCAGGUUAGUUUUAUACCAUAAUCUUCAGAAAAUCCCUUUUUGAAAUCUUUGAUCACACAGUCUUCAACCACAGGUUUAGACUUGGGUGAACCCAUGGUGUCUUUCUGUGGAUCUUUUCUAUGGCCUGAUAUUAUGAGACCUUCUCUGGCCUCGUGGGUGGUAUCCCCAAUAGCUUUGCCUCCACCACUCUUGAAAGCAAGACAGGUCCCACUCAGCUUGCUCUAUGACUGGGAAGAGCACCUGCUUUGUUGCAAGUAUCUCCGAUCCAUCUGGGUCCCUGGUCUCAGGAAGGAACUCUCAGACAAGUUCUAAUGUUUUAGGCAAAGGACAGGGGACCUUGUACCCAAUCCUCCCUAUACCCUGAACUGAGCCAGGGAUGACAGGCUUGUCUCUCUGACUCAGAUCCUGGGCCUCCAUGAGCUGACAAAAUAGGCAGUCCCAUGGCUGGUUUAGAAUCUGAGCCGAGAGUUCCUGGAGGCCCAGGGGCAAGGUCAAAUUAGGUCAUCUCCUUGGAGGAAUUUAUGGCCCAAAAUGGACCCACUUAGACUCUGUAGCCACUAAGACCGUGGAGCCACAAACUCAAACCUGAAGCGCAAGCGAAUCAGGCUGCUCAUUCACUCUCACACACAAUCAGAGGUUAUCACAAUGCCUCCCACUCCCUGGGAGUCCCUAACUAGUAGCUCGAUCAAGCACAACUUUCAAUCUGCUACACCUGACAGUUGCUCCACCCUAGCAAGAGGUUCCUCUGCUUCCAAUCUGGAGCACUAGGACUGCUGUUCCAGUCAGGCACAGCUUCUGACUGGGAGAGUCUCCCUCAGGGGGUUAUCAGUCCCCUCUUCUGCCCACUGGGGCAGGACCUGACUGGGGUUGGCCCUGGGGCCUUACCUUGUC